CCGGCGCGGUAGUGACGUCAUCUCGCUAAAAAGGAAACUGUGCCUCCACAUUAUAACGAGUAUUUAUACAGAAAAAAUGCAAAGUACUAUGAACUGAACUUACCUCAACAUUUCACCCACAGUCAUUGUACAAACGUUAAAUUACUUGUUUAGGUUGGGGUUGUUUUCCUAUAUUCAAAUUAAAAUGGCCAGGGUUAGAAAUGGUAAAAAAAAAAUUGUAUUGUAACAGAUUGUGCUAAGGGAUUCAUCUCCUGUGGAGGAGGUGCAGGUACAUCCUUGUGCAGCCACAUGGCAGCUCUUCUUUAUCAGACUGUCCACUAUUCCCAGCUUAGGCUCAGAUAAAUUCCCCCAGUGUUCAGCUGCACAGAGACUGAACAAAAGUGGCAUAAACCAAGGACUAUGGGUAUUAAACCUGGUCCAGUAAACAAAAUGAUUAUCCUGUCAGCCAGACCAAGAGAAAGAAGACUGGUAGAAGGAAUCAGAAGCAGCUUAUAUAAAGGUGUUAGCUCAUCUCUGCCGGCAAUAUGCUUACAGUUCAUGACGUGUACCAUGACCUUCUUCUUGAUGAAGCUCCCAUGAUCACAACAAUGGCUGUUUCCAGUGAUGUACCUCUGGCUGACUCCAUGUUCGGACAAGUGCAAGAGGGAAGUGUGCUGUCCUAUCAGAUGCCAACAAAGACUGUCCCAAGGACCCGUCCACACACAGACGCCCCUUCUCCCCCACAGCUGCCACUCUCCGGUUACAGGUUGGGACCCUCUGCACGUGCAUUUGUCUGCUCUGAACAUCACCAUCACAUGGCAUCCCUUGAGACAUCUUUGGAGACAGCACACAAAAUUGAACACAGCACACGAGAACAGAGUUCUUGUGCUGAGGGGCACCAACUAAGAAGGUGCCGCAUCACCUCUACCAAAUUCAAAGAGCUCCGUCACACCAGGGGAGAAAGCUCUGCUGAAAACCUCGCCAUCAGGCUGCUAACAUGUGGCGGGGGCUUGACAUGGGGCCUAUAGCAAUAGAGGAGUACUGCAAGGUAAGGGAGGUGAACUACUAUCCAUGUGGGUUUCUGAUACACCUUGAUGCACCAUGGAUAGGUUCAUCACCUGAUGGGAUAGUGUACGAUCCUGAGGGGCAGCCAGUGAUCAAAUUCCCAAAUGUAACAAGCUAUGUGGACUGCCCUUCCAUUCAGAUCAGGCAGGGUACACAGACACUGAGGCGAUCUCAUCCUUAUUACUGGCAGAUCCACGGCCACAUGUUAAUUUCUGGGUGUGACUGGUGUUACUUUGUCAUUUACACACAAGACGACAUAUUAAUUCAGUGGAUUCCCCAUGACAUGGAAGUCACUGAAACCAUUAAAGAAAAAACUGACCGUUUCUUUUUUUUAUUUUUACCAACGCCUUCUUGGAUAAUUAGUGAGUUCAUGGCAAUGUGAAUGUAUUUGAAGUUGCUGUGCUGAAUAUAAUAAAUGUGAGUAAAAUGUUUGAUUUUACUGCAUUGUUUGUUUAUGCAAAAUGACUGUAACAGAUGACUUGGAUUUAAGUAUUUAGGUGUUUUGUAUUGGUUAAGUAGUUAAGGUAAAUGACUAGAACUAAAAAAUGGGUGACGAUAAAAGCAAUUUAGUAAAGUUUUUUAAAAGGCAGCCCUUUAGACCUCAACUAUGUGCAAACAAAUUUCAUGCAAAUAUAAACAACAGUAGGGAAAAUAUGAGUUGGCCUAUUUAAAUUUUUAAAUUUAAAAAUGAGUUGGCUGCUCAAGUUUAAAAAGGCAGGAUAAAAAACAUUGUAUUUUCAUAAUCUGUUUGCAUAUAAACAAACGUACUAUACAUAUAUAUAGUAAGUAUAAUGAGUAGUAAUAUAUAUACACACGCUUCAUUAUACUGUACACUCACCGGCCACUUUAUUAGACAUCACUGUCCAACUGCUC